rnacentral:rRNA from 1 species
CAUAAGGGCCAUCCAUAUACAUGCAAGUCGAGCGAACUGAUUAGAAGCUUGCUUCUAUGACGUUAGCGGCGGACGGGUGAGUAACACGUGGGCAACCUGCCUGUAAGACUGGGAUAACUCCGGGAAACCGGAGCUAAUACCGGAUAACAUUUUUUCUUGCAUAAGAGAAAAUUGAAAGAUGGUUUCGGCUAUCACUUACAGAUGGGCCCGCGGUGCAUUAGCUAGUUGGUGAGGUAACGGCUCACCAAGGCAACGAUGCAUAGCCGACCUGAGAGGGUGAUCGGCCACACUGGGACUGAGACACGGCCCAGACUCCUACGGGAGGCAGCAGUAGGGAAUCUUCCGCAAUGGACGAAAGUCUGACGGAGCAACGCCGCGUGAGUGAUGAAGGCUUUCGGGUCGUAAAACUCUGUUGUUAGGGAAGAACAAGUACAAGAUUAAUUGCUUGUACCUUGACUGUACCUAACCAGAAAGCCACGGCUAACUACGUGCCACCCGCGGUAAUACGUAGGUGGCAAG